ACACAGUAAUCAUCCAUCAGGGGAUAUUUCAAUUUAUUGAUAAAAUGUAAUAGUCCAGCUUUCCUUCUACAAAGGACAAAGUACACUGAGUACAGCAAGAGGUCUAAGGCAAGUAAAUACAAACAGGAACUGGUAGUGUGGAGAGAAUAUACGCAAUUUACCAAACCGCUCCUGGAUUAUUAAAUCAAACACAUUUUUCCCUAAUUUCCUGCUUGUUUGUUUUUUACCCCAUGCUAUUUGUUUCUCAUGCUCUUUCUCUCUGAGACCAAACAGAUGGGGAUGUCCAGGCCUGCAGCUGCCAGCCAAUUCCAUCCUCUAAUGGAGCACCAGCAAACACUCCAUGCUGCUAUCACUCCAGACACACUCUCGUAUGCCCACAGAAGUAUACAUGACCUCACCAGUGGAGUCUUUUUUGUGGCCCAUCUCAAACCGGAUACCUCUAUAAAGUUCCCUGGAGAUCAGUCCAUAGGCCACAAUCAUCACCAACCCCGGGAUUGCAAACAGCACAAGUAGAAGCAGAAUAAAACUAAAUACCUGAUGAUCUUUGAAAAACUCACAAUGCCGUUCAGCAAAAUGUACUGCUAUUCUGAGGAAUCCUCAAGGAAGAAAGAUUUUCAAACCCGUUCCCAAGUUGCAAUUCCUUUCUGAUCCAAAACAAAAAUGGCAUCCAUACAGUAUGUCCUUGCCCAGUUGCAAUGUGA